UACGUAGGUGGCAAGCGUUGUCCGGAAUUAUUGGGCGUAAAGCGCGCGCAGGCGGCCUUUUAAGUCUGAUGUGAAAGCCCACGGCUCAACCGUGGAAGGUCAUUGGAAACUGAAAGGCUUGAGUACAGAAGAGGAAAGCGGAAUUCCACGUGUAGCGGUGAAAUGCGUAGAGAUCCGAUAGAAGACCGGUGGCGAAGGCGGCCUGCGUGGGCAGUAACUGACACUGAGGCGCGACAGCGUGGGGAGCAAACAGGAUUGAG
rnacentral:rRNA from 1 species